GCGAUUUGAAUGUCUCCUCCCACAUUCCAUCUUCCACUUUCUCAUCCUCCUUCGCCUUCUAGGAAGGAAGGAACAAAAGAACAAAGGUGGAGCCAGAUGGAAAUAAUUGCAGAGGAGCCUUGUGAUGCGAGAGAGAAUGGGAAAAGCAACAAGGGGUUUGAUUUCAGCCCAGAGGCAGUAAUGUUACAACUAGGGAUGAAAUGGUUACCGGCUUCACGAUAAACCAUGGUAAAAUUCCCGAAGAGUGGGAGUGCAGCAGACAAACCAAGUGAUGCUACCGGUCCCUCAUCGACAGCUGUGACGCUUAUGCACCCACAUCAAAACAUGCUCAUGACCUCACUGCAGCCCUUUCAUAUUACAUUGCAAAGGACAUGAUGCAAUUUCAAAUUGUUGAGAGGCCUGGCUUUCUGAGGCUGAUGAAGGUUGCCGUGCCUCACUACAACGUGCCAUCACGAACAUUAUUUUCCAAGACUGAAAUCCCAAACCUGUAUAACCGGGUUAAAGCUGAUGUUGGAAAAGGUUUGGCUCAAGGCACAUGGUUUGCUGCAACUACUGACCUCUGGACCAGUGAAAUCUGGGGUGGUCAACCAUACAUCAGCUUCACUAUCUAUUACCUCACCCCAGACUGGCAACUGGAAUCAAAACUGCCUGGAAACACAGUUCUUCCCAGAAGAUCACUCGGCUCACAGUUUGAGAAUAUGCUGGAAGAGUGGGGGAUCAGCAAGAAAGACCUGGUCUGCAUAACCACAGACAACGCAACAAACAUGACCAAGGCUUUUGAAGAGUUCCCAGAUCUGUGGCUUGGGUGCUUUGGCAAUAAUUUGAACCUGGCCAUCUCAAAGGCUCUGAAAAUUCAGAGAGUUGACACAACAGUCAAGGCCUGCUGUCAUCUGGUCCAAGGCUUCUCACUUAGCUGGAAGGAGAGAACUGAGAGAAAAGCAAGCUGCCCUUAACAUGCCACAGAAGGCUCUGAUCCAUGAUGUGGUGACCGGAUGGGGAUCUACAUACAAGAUGCUUGAGCGUUUCCUCAGCCAACAGCAGCCAGCCUGUGUGACACUGGCUGGAGAAAGAGGAACAUGGCACCUGAUGGCCAUGGAUGCUGACAUAAGGUGUCAUGGAAGCAACUGUGCCAGCUCCUUGAACCUCUGAGCAAGUUUACAGAUGCACUUGCCUCAGAGACAUGAGUGACACUGUCAGCCAUCAAGCCUGUCCUGGACCACAUCACCCGUGAUGUUCUGGUGGAAAAGGAUAUGGAUCCAUCCCUGACCAAGGAGAUGAAAAGGGUAAUGAGAGAAGAGCUUAACAACAGAUACACAUUAGGCAAAGAGUCAGGCACAUGGCUUGUUUCAUUGACCCCUGCUUCAAAGGGAGCUUUUUAGGUGAGCCUGAGGCUGCAAAAGUUGACACUGACAGCCGUGUCCAGGAGGCCUUGAAGCUGGCAGCUGCACAAGUCAGGGAAGAACCACAAAGCAGCACCUCCACCACCCCCACAGCGUCAUCAGCGUCAUCAGAGGGGAAAGGCCUGAGUUGCUGAGAAAGAUCACCUCUCUGCUGCCUUGUUGAGGUAAAGAGGGUCAGAUUCCGACCUCCCCAGAAGACAGAGUGAAAGAAGAGAUCAAGGUCUACCCGUCUCUGCCACCCAUUCCAGCAGAAGAGGAUCCACUCGUGUGGAGCCACCAUGUAUCAGAGCUGCCUCACCUUGCCACGGUUGCCAGGAAGCUUUUGUACAUCCCAGCAACCAGCAAGCCAUCAGUGUUCAGUGCCAGCGGGCACAUAGUCUCCCCUCGCAGAUCACUACUUAAACCAGACAAAGUAAAUAUGGUGACAUUUUUACAUUUCAAUCUCAAGUGAACAACAACGCAUACAUACAGGAUGUUAGGCCAGCAGCACCUUGUUUCUUUGUGGAGAGAACAGACAUACAAUCAGUGCUGUUCAUUUGAUUUCUUUACAUAUUUUGUGUUUAAUGUCAACACCUGCACAUUGGAUGUGUUUACAUAUGGUUGUAUUGUUCUUACAUGCACAUUGCUUUACUUGUGUUGCUUUUAUAUGCACAUUUGAUUUGCUUACUUAAGGUUGUGUUCAUUAAAACCUACACAAGGGAAACUUUUACCUCAUGGCGCCAUCUUAAAUAAUAUCAUUAAAUGUUUAUGCACACAGAAAGUGCAUAGUGCUGCUAAUUCAUUGUUGUUGGUUUUCAAUAUAAAACUUGGUGAAAUGA